GAUGAACGCUAGCGGCAGGCUUAACACAUGCAAGUCGAGGGGUAUUGGUUUUCGGACCAAGAGACCGGCGCACGGGUGCGUAACGCGUAUGCAAUCUACCUUUUGCAGAGGGAUAGCCCCAGAGAAAUUUGGAUUAAUACCUCAUAGUAUAGUACUUUGGCAUCAAGGAACUAUUAAAGUCACAACGGCAAAGAUGAGCAUGCGUCCAUUAGCUAGUUGGUAAGGUAACGGCUUACCAAGGCUACGAUGGGUAGGGUCCUGAGAGGGAGAUCCCCCACACUGGUACUGAGACACGGACCAGACUCCUACGGGAGGCAGCAGUGAGGAAUAUUAGGACGAAUUGGGCGCAAGCCUGACUCAGCCAUGCCGCGUG
rnacentral:rRNA from 1 species